GUCAGUCAGGCAGAGCGACUAUUGCAAACAUCUGGAGACGACUUCUUAUUCAUGAAACACUUGAAACACCAUCUCCACGUCAGGAAGAAACUACAGCCGGGCAGACAGUGUGCAUUUUUUUCCAGAAGCAUCUGAUACGCCCUUACUGCUGCUUUACCUAACAUGUUACUUCAAGGAUCCCAGAGUGCACAAAAUAUCAUAUCAGAUUUAACACCAUUAUGAUGUUUUCUCCUCGACCUCCUACCUUCCACAUGUGGAGCCCGAUAGCGUGCUGGUGUCUGCGCUCCAGACCUCUAACCCCCCGCGGCGUGGUGCCCCCAUGUCUCGUCCCAUCGCGGC